CUACUUACCUGGCAGGGGAGUACCUUGAUCUGAAAGUGGUUUUCCCAGGGCGAGGCUUAUCCAUUGUACUCCAGAUGUGCUGACCCUUUUGUGAUUCCCCAAAUGUGUGGAAACUCGACUGUGUCAUUUGUGGUAGUGGCAGGGCCUGUGUUCACAAUCUCCCU
rnacentral:snRNA from 1 species